GAACGCUAGCUACAGGCUUAACACAUGCAAGUCGAGGGGAAACGACAUCGAAAGCUUGCUUUUGAUGGGCGUCGACCGGCGCACGGGUGAGUAACGCGUAUCCAACCUGCCCACCACUUGGGGAUAACCUUGCGAAAGUAAGACUAAUACCCAAUGAUAUCUCUAGAAGACAUCUGAAAGAGAUUAAAGAUUUAUCGGUGAUGGAUGGGGAUGCGUCUGAUUAGCUUGUUGGCGGGGUAACGGCCCACCAAGGCAACGAUCAGUAGGGGUUCUGAGAGGAAGGUCCCCCACAUUGGAACUGAGACACGGUCCAAACUCCUACGGGAGGCAGCAGUGAGGAAUAUUGGUCAAUGGACGAGAGUCUGAACCAGCCAAGUAGCGUGCAGGAUGACGGCCCUAUGGGUUGUAAACUGCUUUUAUAAGGGAAUAAAGUGAGUCUCGUGAGACUUUUUGCAUGUACCUUAUGAAUAAGGACCGGCUAAUUCCGUGCCAGCAGCCGCGGUAAUACGGAAGGUCCGGGCGUUAUCCGGAUUUAUUGGGUUUAAAGGGAGCGUAGGCCGGAGAUUAAGCGUGUUGUGAAAUGUAGAUGCUCAACAUCUGCACUGCAGCGCGAACUGGUUUCCUUGAGUACGCACAAAGUGGGCGGAAUUCGUGGUGUAGCGGUGAAAUGCUUAGAUAUCACGAAGAACUCCGAUUGCGAAGGCAGCUCACUGGAGCGCAACUGACGCUGAAGCUCGAAAGUGCGGGUAUCGAACAGGAUUAGAUACCCUGGUAGUCCGCACGGUAAACGAUGGAUGCCCGCUGUUGGUCUGAAUAGGUCAGCGGCCAAGCGAAAGCAUUAAGCAUCCCACCUGGGGAGUACGCCGGCAACGGUGAAACUCAAAGGAAUUGACGGAA
rnacentral:rRNA from 1 species